rnacentral:misc_RNA from 1 species
AAGACACCUGCUAUAAUUUGUCUGUGACCUAACUUGCAGGAAGAACUUUGAAAAAUCAUGAGAACUAAAAUUAACUUUGAUCUUUUAAUUAAUUGUUUUUGUUUUGAUAACAGAGUGGUUGACAAACAGUGAUGUGUGGCGACUUGUUGAUGGAAGGCAGUUUUUAUUCGAACUGUUGUCAUGUUUGUAAGUUGCAUCAAUCCGAUGUUGAUGUGAAGCGAUGCAGCAAAUGUCGAUUGAUUUCAUAUUGUUCUGUGAAACACCAAAAGAAACAUUGGCCAAAGCAUAAAGAUCUGUGCAAAAGUAUUGUGAGAAUAUGCCACAAUAGCGGGGUGUCGGCGUUAUUUGAAACUCCCAAUGCGCACAUGACGGCGAGAGAAUGGUGUACUCUUCGCACGAAAUAUAUGGCUGCUGCUGAAGUCUUUGUAGCGAGAAAACUAUGUAAAUACGAGCGUGAGAUGUUUUUCUUCCCAAGAGUUUGUAGGGUCUGCAAAAUGUUCAAUAACGGCGAUUUGAUUGAUUGUGGCGAUUGUCUGUCAGCAAGCUACUGUUCAGUUGACCAUCAGUUAAAAGAUUCAACGAAUCACUCGGGAGUGUGCAGUGAUUUGAAACUUUGUUUGGAAAUUGACACAAAAGUGAAAAAUGAUUUGGAUUUUAGCACUCUAAUGGUGACAAGUCAAGAAGAGUAUACUCUUUUGCCCAAGAACACAAUAGAUUUUAUACAGUCCCAUAUUACGUUUGAUAAACUGGUUACUCUGCCUCCACAGUUGGUGUUCGCGUAUGUGUCAGAGCUUUUCUCAUGUCCUUUAACGCUGUUGUAUGCCCUCGAGAGAGAGAGAAUUAUGAGAGCCUCCCUUAUUGUGCAUGUUGUUGGUGCUAGUUACCUUGAGUGCUCCUUUUUCUUCUCUUGGGAAAGUGUGUUGCACUGGUUACCACAUGUAAAAUAUUUAUCUGUUGUGUUCAUUGGACCAGAUGUAAUUGAGGGUAAAAGUUUCACGUUGUGCUCGGGAUGUGAAAAAAAGGGAAAGGGGAUCAACAUUAAACUUUACAGUGGCAUGUAUCAUGACUUCGUUAAGUCAGUUACUUAUGAGACUCCAUCUAUAAUCGUGGCAUACAAUAGUGGUAUUGAUGAACAGAGUUCUCACGACACAUGGGGCCAGUCCAUACCAUUUUUUCUGAAAUAUGAUGCAGUACCGUUUGUUUUAACUUCAUAUACGUUAUCGGAGGCAAUAUCAGAUUUAAAUAAAAUAUGCGAAAUUGCAGGUUGUGAAAUUACUAUUUCUGUUUCCUGUGAAAGAAACCAAUUUUCAAGCCAACGACCUUACCGAGAUUGGGAGACAGACCCCUUAUGCACAUUUUGCUAUAACAACUACUUGAGUAUUGUAAAGCGUGGAAGUGAGAGUACAAAAUAAUGUAGAGGGCAACAAAAUAGUUGUCUGACUGAAUGGCUUAAGGACAGUAUUUGUGCUGUAUGGGGUGUUAUUAUAGGUACGUGCAGAGCCUUGUCAAUUGCAGCUAGCUGCACACUUGCAAACUGCCCCUACUACUCCUUGGUGCCUCAGUUUGUCAAUGACAAAGCUAUUUUCUUAAAGUGAUACAUCGUGCUUAGGCUACGUCUAGAGACUGUAAUUAUUGUUAAGAACUUUGCUAUGUUUUUUAUGACUUUAAUAGUUUAUAUCACCAUUGCAGUGUUUGUAUUGUAAUGCAGUGUACCUGAAAUUUCUCUUUGGUAAUAAACAGGUCUUAUAAAAAUAUUGAAAAUUAUACACUGUUUACACAAUCUAGAGGUACUAGCCGUAGAAUUUUUUCAGUUGCGAGUGUACCUAGAUAAAGAGGGUUGUGAUGACAAAAUCAGUGGUUAAAUUUAUGUAGGUGAUUCCUGGCAGCAAACCAAGAAAGGAAAUACGCAUAAUAACAUGUAGAUUGAAGUGCAAUUAGAUAUUAAACAGAGCAUGUGUUUUAAAAAUUGUAUAGUCUGUAUUAAAGUAGCAUUUGUGGCUCUAAGGGCAGACCCCUCAGUUGCCACAUAAUAAUUAAUUUUAGUGUUAUCACUUGUAACUACUUACUGUACAUAUCAGGUAUUGCAUUGACACAAUGUGUUGUCUACACACACCAAAUUUACAGUCGAGUUGGUGGCCGAUGUGGACUGUAAUUGUAAAUGCCUUUAUGGUCACUGCCAUUAGCCAUUGCGCCAAGUGUCAACUUGGAUUGCACAGAUAACAUCCACAUUUUGGAAAUUAUCUGUGAAUACUUGCUUUUCAGAGACCACAAGAAGAAGUAAAUUUAUAAAGAACCAUUCAGGUCAUGCAACCUCUACUAUGAAUGCUUUCGAGGGAAAUUUGCAUGGAGCAGGAGCAGUAGCUUUACAGAAAACACACACACACAGAGGUUGCAUGGGGAGAAGAGCUGUGUUAUUGAAAAUGAUUAAAAUAACCCCAUCACCCAGAUUCAAGAUACAAUUAAAAAUAAAGAAAUGGCUCUAAAACCUACCAGCCAAUGUUGCACAAACCUAAACCAACAGAAAGAUUAUUAUCGUGAAGAAUGCCCAGAGGAGACUACCACUCUGGAAAGUGCAGCUGCGCUCAGAAGGUUGAGUGGUGGUGGUAAUGGGGUAGAGGGCCCAAUGGAAAACACUGCUGACUGUGCAUGGGACUCGACCUGCUGCUCCCUGGCAGGUGAUGGAUGGCGGCUGCCGAUGUGGUGCUAAGUCCCAGGGAGGGAAUUUUAAGUGCUGAUAGCCGCAAGUGUGGACUAUAGGUUCCCGUGAGGAACUUAGUGCUGGUGGCAGUUGCAGCAUGGUCUGAUACUUGUGGGUGCUGCUGGCGAUGUGCAGUCGUCUUACUGUCCGGCAUUGCCUUGGCGUCGUGAUGGUGCUGCUGGACUCUGGCGACAAGAGUGCUUAUGCCUAAAAAUUAAGGCAUAUUUAUAUAGUCCUGAGGCACACAUUUGUUGCACUAAACCCUCACACCUAGUCACAUCGCUCAGAAGGAGAGAUUCUCUGUGGUGUGAUGACAUCAACCUGUCCCUAUGGUCAUUACAGCUGUGCAGUGCAGUUUUCCACUGAGCACAACUAGUCUCAUCUCACAGUCCUUUACUUGUAUGUUAUUCUGACUCUAUUGCAGCUGUUGAUCUGUGACUGCUAAGGCAGUACUUUAUAAAUUUGCUCAGUGUUCUCAGUAUGCUCUCGCAAAACAGCUUCUAAACUGCAUCAUAGAUAUGGAAAGUUUAUAGGAAAAUUAAGAGGCAAACUGGUUUUCAUACCACAAAUUCAACUCAUUCAGCUACCAUUCAGAUUUAAAAGGCAUAAGAUGAGGGCAGUUGGAAUAUUGACAAAUUGUUUUUUCCGCACAGACAACUUGGCGUGCCAUGUUUGCAGGUUCAACAAUCCCAAGUGUCUUUGCACCCAAAAGUAAAACAGUUAGAUGCUGUACAAGUGAGAUUAUUGCACAAUGUUUCCAAUUCAGAAAACAAAAGGAAAAGAAACCAAACAAAGCAAAGACUUUCAUAUCCUCCUGAGACCUGAGUUUCCUGUCCUGCUGUCAAAUAUUCUGCAUUUUCUGUUGUAAUACCUGUGGCACAUUUGAAUGGACUGUAUGCUGUAGCCAUCUGGUGGGAGAAACAGUCACUACGAUUACUUGGCACCAAGUAGCAGCUUUGUUUACAAUGUGUUACAAUGGCAGGUGAGUUCUCCAUCAUUAUUGUGUAUUUUUCGAAAUUUAUUUUAUGGAAAAAAGGACCUAUUGGAGACAGUAUCUAUAAGUGGUGCUUAUACAAUCUUUCUGUGCAAUAAGGUUUGGUAGUACUGUAUAUUUCCAUAAAUUAUCGUUGCAAAACAGUAAUGUCCACUGUAGUGGACGCUGGGACUUGAAGUCACAUUUCUGAGCACUAUUUCGUAGGCAUUAGUGGUGAUUACCUUCGCUAAUUUCCAAUACAUUUCGUGUUGUGACUGCUGCUCAGUGACAUUAUCUGAUACACCACUAUAAUUAUUUUCUCUAAGGAAAGUAGGCACUAUGUUAAAACAAUCAUUUUCUUUAAGGAUACAGAUCAAAGCUAAGUUCAGAAGAAAUUUUAGAACUUCUCUUGAAUGGAGACAUGUCAGAUCUUGAGAUUAGUGAGGAGGAGGAUGGUGAUUUUGAUCUGGCAGAUGAUGGUGUGCAGCAACGCAAUGUUCCUUCCCCAAAUGAACAUAGUAGCAGCAGUACUGAUAAUUCUGAUGAUGCCGAGAGUUCUUCACAGAAUUGCAAGAUGUUUUGGGAGAAAUGCGAAAGGUUUGAGGGACUCCAGGCUACCUUCUCACCCACGGAAGUUGCAGAACAUAAUGAGAAGCAGAUCAUGGACUACUUUCAGCAAUACUUUGACUUGCCCUUUUAUUAGGAUACGUCUGAACUUAACAAUAUGAGAUAUUUACAGCAGACUGGAAGGUCUUUAAAGCUGUCUGCCAAGGAAUUGCAGGUAUUUAUUGGAGCAACAAUACAAAUGCCUUGUUUGAGAUACCCUAGAGUUAGGAUGUACUGGGGUAAAACAACAAGAGUUAUUAGCAUUACUGAAAUCAUGACUCGAGACCGAUACUUCACCAUUAGAAGUAAUUUGAAGGUGACAGACGAUAAUGCUGUAACAGAGGAAACUAGAAGGAAAGAUAAGUUGUGGAAAAUAAGGCCACUUUUAGAAUGUGUAAAGAGAGCAUGCCUCAGUUUACCUCGAACUCCUGAAGUGGCAGUGGAUGAACAAAUGAUCCCAUUUACUGGAGCAUGUGCAAUAAAAAAAUUUGUCAGGGGAAAGCCAAAUCCUGAAGGGCUUAAAAAUUUUAUGUUGGCUGCUCCUUCAGGACUAGUCCUUGACUUUGAGAUUUAUCAUGGUAAAGGAACAUUCCCAGAAGCUAUUGGUCAACAAUUAAAACAAGGAAUAGGAGCCUCGGCAGUCCUCAGGCUUUGCCAGAAUCUUCCAGAAGGAACACAUGUGUUCUUUGAUAGGUAUUUUACCUCUGUUCCUUUACUGGAAUCAUUGGCUGAAAAAAAACUUGCCUGCCACUGGAAGUCAUGAAGUCAAGAAUACCCAGAGCAGUCCAUCUGACAGCAGACAAGAUUCUUGCAAAUCAAGGAUGUGGUUCUGUUGACCAGACAGUGAGAAAAGACAAACACAUUUCUAUUGUAAAAUGGUAUGUCCAAAAGCCAGUCAUAACUGCAUCGACAAAGGUUGGGAAGAACCCUAUGAAUCAAUGUAAAAUGUGGUCGAAAAAAGAUCGGAGAUACAUUCAGGUUCCCUGUCCAGCAGUAAUCAGCUGCUACAAUAAAAAUACGGGUGGCAUAGACCUGAUUGACAGAAUGAUGAGAUUUUACAGGAUCUGCACGAGAACCAGAAAGUGGACUGUAAAAACUAUUUUUCAUUUCAUAGAUCUGGGAAUUGCAAAUAGCUGGAUUCAGUACAGAAGUGACCGAAUUAAGAACGAUGAGCCAAAGAAGAAUAUGCUGCAGUACCUUGAUUUCAAAAUUAGAAUUGCUUAAGAAUGAUGAGCCAAAGAAGAAUAUCCUGCAGUACCUUGAUUUCAAAAUUAGAAUUGCUGAGCAUUUGUUAAGGGGCCAAGAGGAACAACAUUCUGAUGAAGAUGAUGAGGAAUCAACUCCUAAAAGGCGAAGAUUAUUGCCGCCACAGUCACCUUCACCUUCUGUAACCCAUUUGCCAGGAAUGACUGGGUUGACAAAUAGCACGAGGUGUAAGAACAGUGGCUGCACGAAGAAAACCAAAAUAAAGUGCAAAGGUUGUUCAGUUUUCCUCUGUCUAUCAUCACAGAAAAACUGUUUCUCUGAGUAUCAUCAGAAAUAAAACUGUUAAAAUUUGUCAUUUAUUUUACUUUUUAAAUUUAUAUUCAUUAUUUUAAAUUAAUAAUCAGUGAAUGAUUCAAGUAAUAUCUGCCUAAUAAGAUUGU